rnacentral:rRNA from 1 species
AUUGAACGCUGGCGGCAGGCUCAACACAUGCAAGUCGAGCGGGGGAGGUUGCUUCGGUAACUGACCUAGCGGCGGACGGGUGAGUAAUGCUUAGGAAUCUGCCUAUUAGUGGGGGACAACAUUCCGAAAGGGAUGCUAAUACCGCAUACGCCCUACGGGGGAAAGCAGGGGAUCUUCGGACCUUGCGCUAAUAGAUGAGCCUAAGUCGGAUUAGCUAGUUGGGGGGGUAAAGGCCUACCAAGGCGACGAUCUGUAGCGGGUCUGAGAGGAUGAUCCGCCACACUGGGACUAAGACACGGCCCAGACUCCUACGGGAGGCAGCAGUGGGGAAUAGUGGACAAUGGGCGGAAGCCUGAUCCAGCCAUGCCGCGUGUGUGAAGAAGGCCUUUUGGUUGUAAAGCACUUUAAGCGAGGAGGAGGCUACUAGUACUAAUACUACUGGAUAGUGGACGUUACUCGCAGAAUAAGCACCGGCUAACUCUGUGCCAGCAGCCGCCGUAACAC